AAAUAAAUGAGGGUUAACAUUUCUAUAUUGUAAAUCAUAAACGACGGCGGCGGCAUCCUUACUAAGAGAAUAGCCGUGUUGUCUCGAAAAUUUCUUCAGGUUUUGAGCCUAGACACUGGGUUUGAGAUAUUCAUUAUCCUCCGAGGCUUCGAGGUGACUUAGAAAGAUACAGGUGCUAGAAAUCAUCAACAAAAGCUCCGUUGAAGAUCCAUUUCCUUUUUGAUAGUGGUGAGACCUCCCUGAUUUUGGAGGAAUCAUAUUUACUUCAUUUGUUGCUUAUGAGUAGUUCUUUUGAGAUAGAUGUGGGCUUGUCUCGGUACCUUCCUGAUAGUUGAUAGAGGCUUCAUGGACAUAGACUGAGUAGAUUCAAGUUGAUGUCUUUUCUAGGCAUGUUUUUGAGAAAACAUCUAUUUAUGAGAUUGAGUUGACUUUUAAAAUUGCUUAUUUAAAACUAU